ACAUUGAUGACGGGUCCCAAACAGGACGAAACAGCUGUCCAGUGU
rnacentral:hammerhead_ribozyme from 1 species